GCUCUGCCCGUCAAUCGACGCAACAGCGCUACUGUCUGCCUAUCGAUGAGCAGGAAUUUCAAAACAGGGCUGUCAGCCCAUUGAAAAUUAUAGUAUUGUCGGAUGUUAGGGGUCUCAACAGUUAAUUUGCUGCAGUUUUCAAUCUUAGGUUCGCGUGUCGGAUUAAAACUCUACCUAAGCCCAAAAAACGCAACAAGGUACCAAUAAAUCCGUACAGCUUUAAGAUAGAAGGAUUCCCUAAGUUAAUGAAUGAAUGAAAAUGCUAACGACUAUCAAGCCUUGGUAAUAUAAUAGACUUUAACAGUAUCGCAUUAUAUUAAGAAAAUAUAAUCUUUAAUUUAUAUGUUAUGUUGUGAUAUGAAGUUAAGAUAUCACGAUGUCACAAUCAAUAAAAGUGUAAUUGUUUUAUUAAAAAAUAUGAAUGUAUCAUUAGAUGUUAA